GAUGAACGCUGGCGGCGUGCCUAAUACAUGCAAGUCGAGCGAACAGACGAGGAGCUUGCUCCUCUGACGUUAGCGGCGGACGGGUGAGUAACACGUGGAUAACCUACCUAUAAGACUGGGAUAACUUCGGGAAACCGGAGCUAAUACCGGAUAAUAUAUUGAGCCGCAUGGUUCAAUAGUGAAAGACGGUUUUGCUGUCACUUAUAGAUGGAUCCGCGCCGCGUUAGCUAGUUGGUAAGGUAACGGCUUACCAAGGCAACGAUGCGUAGCCGACCUGAGAGGGUGAUCGGCCACACUGGAACUGAGACACGGUCCAGACUCCUACGGGAGGCAGCAGUAGGGAAUCUUCCGCAAUGGGCGAAAGCCUGACGGAGCAACGCCGCGUGAGUGAUGAAGGUCUUCGGAUCGUAAAACUCUGUUAUUAGGGAAGAACAAAUGUGUAAGUAACUAUGCACGUCUUGACGGUACCUAAUCAGAAAGCCACGGCUAACUACGUG
rnacentral:rRNA from 1 species